UGAAGCAGUCUCUAAUAUUACAAAAAUAGUAAGUAAAGCCAGGCAAGGCAUGUUAGGUUAUCUUUUGUUUUAGCUUGUGAAUUUUCCCUUUGCUAGAGGGAGGUUUAUUCCUGUUUUUUGUAACUUUGAAAGAAGCCUAGAGGGAGUUCCUCUGUGUUUGUGACUCUUUUGUUACCCUGUAAAGUUAUCUUCCAUCCUGAUUUUACAGAGGUGGUUCUUUUACCUUUUCUUUAAAUAAAAUUCUUCUUUUAAG